CAAAACAGCUGCCUUUCUAUGGUUUGGUCUGUGAGGUUUGUCUUAUAUUAAAUCCCUGGAACAAAGAUCUCGUGAUCAAAAAGUGUUCAUCAGCUCACAGUUUCUCCAAAACAUUGCUUGUUCAUGCGUCUAUCAAUGAAAACGGGAUGCUGGAACGAAUCAGACCACUGCCAAAAAGGCUUCCACCUCCAGGGAUAAAGUUUUGUCUACAUGUAUAUCGGAAUGAAGAAGACUGGAUUUGCCGUACGUUAUGGUGACGAUUGCAUGUAAUGCUCACAGCAUGGUGGAGCUGAAGGCUUGGAACGCUCAGUUAGCAGAGGAUGAAAUUGACAGAAAAUUUAGAACGGUCUUAAAAGCCUCGUUUCAACCAAAGCAGAAGUUCCCUGCAAAGGAUGACUCUCCUACAACACAGUACAAACCUCCAUACCAAUAUUUGAAGGUUAAGAAUUGACUACUACUGCAGCGUCGUCACACUCAUUCCAUAGAAGAUCUUAAAUGCACUUAAACACAUGUUCAUGCACAUGCAGUGUUGCUUCUUCAUUUCAAUGUAGUGUAGUUUUUGUUCAAAUGUUGGUGUGUAUAGCUAUGAUCGAUCGUGUGUUCUCCCCAGCUUUCACAUUAUAUUUCAGCUUCUUUUACAUUAAUUUAUGUAAUUUUUGGUGAUUCUACAAGACUGUGUAAAAACUUAACAACCUAUUAAUUAUUUUUUGCUACUGGUUUGUGUAUUUUGUGUUGAUGUUCUCCUUUUAUUUUA